CCGAGUGCAGAGCCAGGGCCCAGCACGAAGGCCUUGGGCUCCAGUCCGUGUGCCCCACAUCCCUACAUGAGUGAGGGUGGAGGGAUGGUGCCUCUGCCACGGCCACGGUGCCGCCGUCCACGUCAGCUCACUCUCAGCACAGGUGCUGUGUGACGGCCUCGGGCCACACCGCUUGUUCUGAGGCCCCUAGCAGGUCGGGCUUGUGCUGGCUGCACAUUGGCUGGUGAGCUUGGCGGGUCUGUGGGCACGGAGAGACCAGAACGUGCGUAACAGGCCCGAUGAGGGUGCCAGGCUGUGGCGACCCCCGAGCUUCAGAGGAGAGGGGCACCAGCCGGGGGCCCUGCACAGGCAGCCUCAGAGAGAGGAAAGCUCACGAUCUGGGAGAACUCCAGGCCUGGCCCAGUGAAGACGUCCUUAUCUUCAGCAGACAUUGCCCAGUGCAAGGGGAGCCCCAGACUGACUUUCUGAGGUCACAGACGGAGCCUCACCCCAUCCAAGGCGGUGUCCUGGACUCCCACUGUGCUCCCCAGAGGGCAGGGUACCUGGGGCCCAGCCCGGGCGGCAGGAGGGACUCAGCCCCUCGCCCAGGCAGGAAGGGUCCCAAGCAGAGGCCCCUCCCUCAGGCACUCCCCAGCCCACACCUGCAGCACUGGGACCAAGACUAAUAAAACACCAGCCUCACGGAAGACAGCUUUAUCUUGUUGAUCGGAAGUCUGCCAGCCCAAUUUAUGAUGGAACAUAAGAUCUCUAAAUCUGAAUUUACGCUCUGUAGCGUAACGAGAGGUCAAUAAGAUUAAACGGGGGCUCAGGAGAGGACCAGCGUCAGGCUCACUGCGAGGUGCUGCACAGAAAACCCACAGCCAGAGCCCCUGGGCCCAGCCCAGGCAAGACCAGAAAAGGAGGGGGCAGGUGGGAGACCAGCCUGGGGCUCCCGGGAAGCCCACGGGAUGGAGGCGGGAGAGCCAGGAGGCCUGGGGCAACCCUGGGACGGUUCCUGGAUCGAGGAGAGCAGGGGGGUGAUGAGGGUUCCCUCAGGGCUGGGGAGCCUUCUCCUGGUCUCAGACCCACCCCCCUUCAGCUCCCAAGCCCUGGGUGCCCCUGGCUCUGAGGACAGUUGGGAAUCUUCCCUGAGGCAGGUUCAAGGACAGAGCUCUGACCCUGGCCCAGGGCUGCUUUGGGUGCCUAUGAACUCGGCUUCUGGCUCAGAGCAGUUCCCUGCACCCCUUCCUGAGCCCUCUGUCCUCUGGAACCCGUGGGCAGGGUGAGGGACGGGUGUUCCUUCUGGGUGGGGGCCUGGGCGCCCAGCCAGCACGACGCUGGCUUGCUGAGCUUAGGGCAGACCCCGACUUCAGAAUUUAUACAAAUAAAUGCAAUGAAAAGUGCUGGCAA
rnacentral:lncRNA from 1 species